rnacentral:rRNA from 1 species
CGUGUGGUUUAAUUCGUUGCUACACGAAGAACCUUACCUGGGUUUGACAUAUAAGUUGUAGGGAACUGAAAGGGACCGACCUUCGGGGAGCUUAUACAGGUGUUGCAUGGCUGUCGUCAGCUCGUGUCGUGAGAUGUUCGGUUAAGUCCGCUAACGAGCGCAACCCUCGCCGUAUGUUACAAGUGUCAUACGGGACUGCCGGUAAAAGCCGGAGGAAGGUGAGGAUGAUGUCAAGUCAGCAUGACCUUUAUAUCCAGGGCUACACACACGCUACAAUGGUCUGUACAAUUGGUUGCCAAGCCGCGAGGCGGAGCCAAUCCGUAAAGCAGGCCUCAGUUCAGAUUGCAGUCUGCAACUCGACUGCAUGAAGCCGGAGUUGCUAGUAACCGCAGGUCAGCAAUACUGCGGUGAAUACGUUCCCGGGUCUU